UACAGAGGGUGCAAACGUUGUUCGGAAUUACUGGGCGUAAAGCGCGUGUAGGCGGCUAUCUAAGUCGGGUGUGAAAGCCCCGGGCUCAACCUGGGAAUUGCAUUCGAGACUGAAUAGCUAGGGUACGGUAGAGGGAAGUGGAAUUUACGGUGUAGCAGUGAAAUGCGUAGAUAUCGUAAGGAAGACCAGUGGCGAAGGCGGAUCUCUGGACAGUUACUGACACUGAGGCACGAAGGCCAGGGGAGCAAACGGG
rnacentral:rRNA from 1 species